CUAUCCACAGUUUGUGCUGUUGAAAUGACAUGAGGGAGCGCUGCUAAUGCACUGAGCAAAGUCACCCAGUCCAGAAAUGGUUUGAUUUGGGGAGUCAGAGAACCAGGAGAAAAAGAAGAUAAAUAAGAAUGGAGCGAAAGAAACAGCAAAAUUAUGAAGAAGUACUUUAUAAGAGGAGUUUGUGAGAUGGUAACUGAGAUGAAGUUUCUUCCUGACUUGGAAAACCAUUUUGUGACUGAGUUGGGAAGCCUUUUCUCAAAUUUCUCAACUAGAUCUUCAUGGCUGCAAACUGAAGUGAUCAUUUCUUGCCCUGUUUUUGGUGGAUAUGGAGAAAACUGAUGAUGAGCCUAACCAUACCAUCCUUUUAUCCCCAGGUGAGGCCUUCCAUCAGCCACUUCACUGCCUUUGCACAUGUGACUGUUAAUGAAGUAAGCAUCAAAUACCAGCAGAAUAAAACCAUUAUCACUGUGCAACACCCAAGAGCUUUCUGUAACUAAUCAAACUCUAUCAAACUCUGGGAGGAGGAGAAGAGGUUUAAAAAUGGAAAGACUGGAAAGCUGUGAACAAC